GGCUCUUUAGCUCAGUUGGUAGAGCAGAGGCCUGAAGAGCCUUGUGUCACUAGUUCGAGUCUAGUAGGAGCCACCA
rnacentral:tRNA from 10 species